UUGUUACAGUUCCUGUUACAUUGGGCUUACUGGAUUUACACAGUGGCACCUUACCCUAACUGAUCAAAGAAGCCUUGGUUUCCCUUACCUUCAUCUGCCCUUUACACCAAAGAUAUCACAGGCCUAAAGUCAGGUCCUGGCAUCUACAGUAGCUGCUUUCACAAGGUCCUAUCCAUGGUCUUCCUCCUCAGAGGUUCUUAUUACCAAUUCCAGAUGCAUCUUUCAGGAAUUAUCUAUGUGAAUGAAAGACAAGAUCAAAAGAGCUGUUUCUCUCGGAACCACCUAUCAUCCUUACACAGGAGUGUCUGACUAUACUUACCCAUGUGGGAAGCAGCCGGCAGACCCACGCCUUCUGUUUGGACUAUCUACUUUGUGAGCUUUUAUUUUGGAGGCCAACUGACAUCAGUCUGUGCUUUUCCUCUGCCAGUGAACCUGAACACAUCUGGGUUGCCUCUUCUGAUUGGUGAUCACGCAGGCCUCUCCUGUUUAACUAGCAUGAGCUCUGGGGAAUGGCUUUUUACCUCUUUCAAGUGUCCUCUCCAGGGUGACGAGGAUCAGUUUUCUUAUGCCAAACAUAUGUCUGUAUUUUAAGUCAGACCAUCACAGGCAUAUCCUCAACAUUUGGUGAGAAAUAGCACAGCCAUUUUCUUAUGAUGGGGUGUACACGUACAAAUGGACAAGAAGUCGCAGACUUCAUUUAUUUGUUUAUUUUUAUGGAAUUUUAUUUUAUUUUGUUAACUGUUGACAACAUAAUUUAAGCUGUAAAAUAGUGCAACAAUUUAAGGAACUGUUUAAAAGCUAUCUUGUUUUAGAGUCUAAAAUACAUAUAGUCUAAACAGUAUGACUGCAGAAUGUUAAAUUUUUUAGGGAGAGAGUAAUAUUUAUAAGUAGGCUAAUGAAAUAGGAUUUAUUUUGAUGGGCUUUUUUUCAGGUGUAUACACAUAUAAAUAGAGAGAAAUAUUAUAUAUAUAAACAGACACAUACUAGGUGUAUUCAUAAACAGAAAUAAAAGUUUGAACAUAGGGAAUUUUGUUUCAUUUUUCUGAUCUUUGACGAAAGAGUUUUCAUUGUUGAACAGUGUAGUAAUUUAAGGAUUUAUUUUUAAGAUUGUAUAAAAGGUAGGCCAUAUUAUAGUAAAUCUUUUUUUUUUUAAUUUUUUUAUUGAGUCAUAAACACAUAGAUCAUGUAUACAUUAGUGCAUUUAUGGGGUAUAAUGUGCUGAUUUUAAACAUGAUUUGGAAUGCUUACAUCACACUAGUUAAUAUAGCCUUCACUUCAUUUACUUAAUUAUUGUGUUAAGACAUUUAUACUCAUACUUAAUAGAUUUGACAUGUACCCUUGCAAUAUGCACCAUAGCAAACUUCAUUUAAUUGUGUGGAUAAAUCUCCAUUGCUCCCCUGCUCUGACCUUUGGGGGAAGAAAAAAUGAGAGAGAGAAAAAAAUUUAAAAAUGGGAGCACACUUAACACACUGUUCUUUACCUUGCUUCCCCCACCCCCACCCCCGUACUUUUCACUAUAUUUUGAUGGUUUCAUGUUUCAUAUAUUAGUCCAUAUAAUUUUGGCCCUUUAUUUAAAGUAUAAAUACUGGUUCAAUGUCAAUUUUGUGAAUAUGCUGGCUUGUUAACAUGGGCUAAAAUUAGUAAUUAUUUACCUAUUCUUUCUAAAAUAAUAUGUUGAUUUCUGGGACUUUUUUUUUUUUUUUUUGCAGUUUUUGGCCAGGGCUGGGUUUGAACCUGCCACCUCUGGCAUAUGGGGCUGAUGCCUUACUCCAUUGAGCCACAGGCACCACCCAAUAUGUUGAUUUCUGUUAAGCAUGGGUUACCAACUUAACUUCUGUUAAGCAUGGGUGACCAACUCUUUGCUCAGGACUUUCUCAGUUUUAGCACAUAAAGUCUUAUAUCUCAGGAAGCUCUUCAGUUCUAGACAAGCCUGGAUGCUUGGUUUCUAUAUUUAAGACCCAAAUAAACAUUCGACAAAUUUGAAUGGGAGGUGGUAAAUUUUAACAAAACAAGUAGUAAUCUUGGUCUUUGCCCUAAAAUGGAAUUGUUAACCAAAUAUUGUCCCCAUAAAAUAAGAAUUUUCUCAGAACUUUUGCUAUUUUUAUAGGGAGGUGCCUCAUGCUUUUAGAUGGCUGAAUAGUAUUCCAUUGUAUGAUUUCAAUAUAAUUUUAUUAAACCUGUUUCCUGAUGAACAGUUAGUUUUCUUUCCAGGGUUUGCUAUAAUAAACAAGCCUGCCAAAAAUGUCCUUAUUUAUCUGUUCUAUUAACUGGUACAUUCUACGUAAAUAUAGAAAAUAAAGUUUUCCUGCUAAAAACAAAACUCAAAGA